UACGUAGGUGACAAGCGUUGUCCGGAUUUACUGGGCGUAAAGAGCGCGCAGGCGGUCGAUCAAGUCGAGUGUGAAAGCCCCCGGCUCAACUGGGGAGGGUCAUUCGAUACUGAUCGACUCGAAGGCAGGAGAGGGUAGUGGAAUUCCCGGUGUAGUGGUGAAAUGCGUAGAUAUCGAGAGGAACACCAGUGGCGAAGGCGAGUCCCUGGACAACACCUGACACUGAGGCACGAAAGCUAGGGGAGCAAACAGG
rnacentral:rRNA from 1 species